UACGUAGGGGGCUAGCGUUGCUCGGAAUCACUGGGCGUAAAGGGCGCGUAGGCGGCCAUUCAAGUCGGGGGUGAAAGCCCAGGGCUCAACCCUGGAAUUGCCUUCGAUACUGUUUGGCUAGAGACCGGAAGAGGUAAGUGGAACUGCGAGUGUAGAGGUGAAAUUCGUAGAUAUUCGCAAGAACACCAGUGGCGAAGGCGGCUAACUGGUCCGGUUCUGACGCUGAGGUGCGAAAGCGUGGGGAGCAAACAGG
rnacentral:rRNA from 1 species